rnacentral:rRNA from 1 species
UGGGAGUAGUGGAGAAUGAAACCAAAUAAAAAUAAAAAUAUAAUUGAUUCAACAAUAGAAAAAAGAAAUUAUAAAUUUAUAUCUUUAAAAAGAACUGAAACAUCUUAGUAAUUGAAAAAUAUUAUUUUGGGAGUAGUGGAGAAUGAAACCAAAUAAAAAUAAAAAUAUAAUUGAUUCAACAAUAGAAAAAAGAAUUAUCAUCUUUAAAGAAAGUACUGUGAAGGAAAACAAAAAAUAAUACUUAAACCCCAUGAAUACCAUUUACCUUUUGUAUAAUGGAUUUAUAAGAAAAAAUAUUAGCAAGUUUGAAGACAAAAUAAAAGUGAAAAAGUUAAUAUUACCCGAAACCAAAUGAUCUAAUUAUGAAAACCUUUGAAAGAGAUAAUUAAUGAAUGUAGAAUAAUUCUUAAAAUAUUUAUAAUUAGCAGUGAAAAACUAAUCGAAUUUGGAUAUAGCUGGUUUUUUGCGAAAAUUAUUUUAGUAAACGUUAAUCACAGACUCAAAGGUAAAAUCUUUUGGGUCAAAAGGAAAAAAAUCCUAAUUAAAAAUUUAUAAGUAAAAUAAAAAGUAAAAUAAAUUUUAAUUAUUUAAACAAUACGUAAAUAGGACUAGAGACAACCAUAUUUUUGAAAGUACGUAAUAGUAUACGUAAUAAAAAAUUUAAGAUUAAAAUAAAACUCAGAAUAUUUAGAAAUUUUAAUAAAAAUAAGUAGCAAAAUAAUCUAUAAAAUCUUAGAAAUAUGAUUAUAGAUGAAACAAUAUAAAUAUGAAUAAAGCAAUUAAAUUCCUAAGGUUUCUUAUUUUAAUAAAUGAAUAAGAUUAAACGGUCUCUAAACUAAAGAUGAGAAAUAAAAGUUCAUUUACAAGAAAAAUUUUUAUAGAUCACCGUACUUAACUAAAUCAAGAAGGAAUAAAAUUUAAAUUUAAACUUUACUUAAGGAACUCGGCAAAUUUUAUAUCGACUGUUUACCAAAAACAUAGCCCUUAAAAUAAUUAAAGGUGUGACCUGCCCAAUGGUUAUUAAAUUAAAAAUAAUAAAAUCAUUUUAGAAUAACUUAAAGGACGCGGUAUCUUGACCGUGAUAAUGUAGCAUAAUCACUCGCCACUUAAUUAGUGGAUUGUAUGAAUGGUUGAACGAAUAUAGCACUGUCUCAAGUAGAGAAUUUAUAAAAUUGGAAUAAUAGUAAAGAUACUAUUAAAAAUUAUAAGACGAAAAGACCCUAUAGAGCUUAACUAUAAUUUCUUUUAAACAUAAUAAAUUAAUUUAUUAAAAUAAAGAAAUUGGUAGUUUAGUUGGGGCGACUAUCUUCUAGAAAUAACGAAGAUAAACAAGAUUAAUUUGAUAAUUUAUUGUAUAAUUAAUUUAUUUAACAGUUACAAACGUAGGUAAUAAUGACCCGUUUUCAUUUUAGAAAAAAGAAAACGAUUAAUUGAUAAAAGCUACCUUAGGGAUAACAGGAUAAUUUUAUUUUAGAGAUCCUAUCGAAAAUAAAGUUUGUCACCUCUAUGUUGAAUUGAGAUAUCCUGAUAAUGCAGAAGUUAUCAAAGGUAGGUCUGUUCGACCUUUAAAAUCUUACAUGAUUUGAGUUCAUUCCGUCGCAAGACAGGAAGGUUUCUAUCUAUAAUUUAUAAACUCAUAAAGAAUCUUCUAGUACGAAAGGACCGAAGAAAUUCGCAAAUAAUUUUGUAAAAAAAAAUUAGACGGCAUCUAAAACUCUAGAAUGAGUAUUUAA